GACGAACGCUGGCGGCGUGCUUAACACAUGCAAGUCGAACGGAAAGGCCCUGCUUUUGUGGGGUGCUCGAGUGGCGAACGGGUGAGUAACACGUGAGUAACCUGCCCUUGACUUUGGGAUAACUUCAGGAAACUGGGGCUAAUACCGGAUAGGAGCUCCUGCUGCAUGGUGGGGGUUGGAAAGUUUCGGCGGUUGGGGAUGGACUCGCGGCUUAUCAGCUUGUUGGUGGGGUAGUGGCUUACCAAGGCUUUGACGGGUAGCCGGCCUGAGAGGGUGACCGGCCACAUUGGGACUGAGAUAGGGCCCAGACUCCUACGGGAGGCAGCAGUGGGGAAUAUUGCACAAUGGGGGGAAGCCUGAUGCAGCAACGCCGCGUGCGGGAUGACGGCCUUCGGGUUGUAAACCGCUUUCGCCGGUGACGAAGCGUGAGUGACGGUAAUGGGUAAAGAAGCACCGGCUAACUACGUG
rnacentral:rRNA from 1 species